rnacentral:rRNA from 1 species
GACGAACCGUGCGAACGUUAUUCGGAAUCACUGGGCUUAAAAGCGCGUGUAGGCGGAUGGGAACGUCGGUCGUUGAAAGCCCCCGGCUCAACCGGGGAACCGGCGCCGAAGCGACCCGUCUGGAGGGACGUAGGGGGACCUGGAACUUCCGGUGGAGCGGUGAAAUGCGUUGAGAUCGGAAGGAACGCCCGUGGCGAAAGCGAGGUCCUGGACGUCUACUGACGCUGAGACGCGAAAGCUAGGGGAGCGAACGGG